rnacentral:rRNA from 1 species
UACGGGGGGGGCAAGCGUUGUUCGGAAUUACUGGGCGUAAAGGGCUUGUAGGUGGCCAACUAAGUCAGACGUGAAAUCCCUCGGCUUAACCGGGGAACUGCGUCUGAUACUGGAUGGCUUGAGUUUGGGAGAGGGACGCGGAAUUCCAGGUGUAGCGGUGAAAUGCGUAGAUAUCUGGAGGAACAUCGGUGGCGAAGGCGGCAUCCUGGACCGGUAUUGACGCUGAGGCGCGAAAGCGUGGGGAGCAAACAGG